AACGCUAGCUACAGGCUUAACACAUGCAAGUCGAGGGGAAACGACAUCGAAAGCUUGCUUUUGAUGGGCGUCGACCGGCGCACGGGUGAGUAACGCGUAUCCAACCUGCCCACCACUUGGGGAUAACCUUGCGAAAGUAAGACUAAUACCCGAUGAUAUCCCUAGAAGACAUCUGAAAGGGAUUAAAGAUUUAUCGGUGAUGGAUGGGGAUGCGUCUGAUUAGCUUGUUGGCGGGGUAACGGCCCACCAAGGCAACGAUCAGUAGGGGUUCUGAGAGGAAGGUCCCCCACAUUGGAACUGAGACACGGUCCAAACUCCUACGGGAGGCAGCAGUGAGGAAUAUUGGUCAAUGGGCGAGAGCCUGAACCAGCCAAGUAGCGUGCAGGAUGACGGCCCUAUGGGUUGUAAACUGCUUUUAUAAGGGAAUAAAGUGAGUCUCGUGAGACUUUUUGCAUGUACCUUAUGAAUAAGGACCGGCUAAUUCCGUGCCAGCAGCCGCGGUAAUACGGAAGGUCCGGGCGUUAUCCGGAUUUAUUGGGUUUAAAGGGAGCGUAGGCCGGAGAUUAAGCGUGUUGUGAAAUGUAGACGCUCAACGUCUGCACUGCAGCGCGAACUGGUUUCCUUGAGUACGCACAAAGUGGGCGGAAUUCGUGGUGUAGCGGUGAAAUGCUUAGAUAUCACGAAGAACUCCGAUUG
rnacentral:rRNA from 1 species